GACGAACGCUGGCGGCGUGCUUAACACAUGCAAGUCGAACGGAAAGGCCCUGCUUGCAGGGUACUCGAGUGGCGAACGGGUGAGUAACACGUGGGUGAUCUGCCCUGCACUUCGGGAUAAGCUUGGGAAACUGGGUCUAAUACCGGAUAGGAACCAUCUUUAGUGUGGUGGUUGGAAAGUUUUUUCGGUGUAGGAUGAGCUCGCGGCCUAUCAGCUUGUUGGUGGGGUAAUGGCCUACCAAGGCGGCGACGGGUAGCCGGCCUGAGAGGGUGUACGGCCACAUUGGGACUGAGAGACGGCCCAGACUCCUACGGGAGGCAGCAGGGGGGAAUAUUGCACAAUGGGCGAAAGCCUGAUGCAGCGACGCCGCGUGGGGGAUGAAGGCCUUCGGGUUGUAAACUCCUUUCGCUAGGGACGAAGCUUUGUUGUGACGGUACCUAGAUAAGAAGCACCGGCUAACUACGUG
rnacentral:rRNA from 1 species